rnacentral:rRNA from 1 species
AGAGUUUGAUCAUGGCUCAAAGCGAACGUUAGCGGCGGGCUUAACACAUGCAAGUCGAGCGAGAAAGGGGCUUCGGCCCUGAGUACAGCGGCGGACGGGUGAAUAACACGUAGGUAACCUUCCUUUCAGCGGGGGACAACGGUCCGAAAGGACCGCUAAUACCGCAUACGUUCCCUGGGACCUCGGUCCUGGGGAGGAAAGGCCCGCAAGGGCCACUGGAUGAGGGGCCUGCGUAGCAUCAGCUAGUUGGUGGGGUAAUGGCCUACCAAGGCGAAGACGCUUAGCUGGUCUGAGAGGAUGAUCAGCCACACUGGGACUGAGACACGGCCCACACUCCUACGGGAGGCAGCAGUGGGGAAUAUUGGACAAUGGGCGCAAGCCUGAUCCAGCAAUGCCGCGUGUGUGAAGAAGGCCUUCGGGUUGUAAAGCACUUUUAUCAGGAACGAAAAGCGUUGGAUUAAUACUCUGACGUGCUGACGGUACCUGAGGAAUAAGCACCGGCUAACUUCGUGCCAGCAGCCGCGGUAAUACGAAGGGUGCAAGCGUUAAUCGGAAUUACUGGGCGUAAAGCGUGCGUAGAUGGUUCGCUAAGUCGGAUGUGAAAGCCCCGGGCUCAACCUGGGAACUGCAUCCGAUACUGGCGGACUAGAGUGUGAUAGAGGGAUGGCGGACUUCCCGGUGUAGCGGUGAAAUGCAUAAAGAAUCCGGGAAGGAUCAUCCGGUGGCGAAGGCGUCUAUCUGGAUCAACAACUGACGUUGAGCACGAAAGCGUGGAGGAGCAAACAUGAUAGAUACCCUGUAGUCCACGCCUAACGAUGCGACAGUAAUGUGUGGUCAACUGGCACUCAGUACCGAGCUAACGCGUAGUCGACGGCUGGAGAUACCGCCGCAGCUAACUCGAUGAUGACGGUCGCACGAGGUGAGAAGUGUUUCAUAGC